CUAUCAUGUUAGAGGUCUCUGAUCUCUGAAGAUCUUUGCUUAAAGGAAGUCUGCCUUGGCCUUUGAGAAACUGCUCUCUGGAGUACAGCCCACCUAGUGAAUAUCAAACAGUGUUUCAAAAGCACUGGACAUCUCAAAAGGGAGAUUCAAGGUCAAGUGUGGGCCCUCAUUUCAGUGCAUCAGUGGAAAGAAAAAAGGCGCAAAUUCAUUCCUCCAGAGACUGGGAUGCAAAUGGGAGUUAUCUCUGAAGACAAAGGAAAGGGUUACCUGUUUCAGCAUCCUCGAGCCUGUGUUCCUCAUCGGGAGGUUUGGAUGGUGGCCCCAUGGAUGGAACUCGCCUAGGAAACUGCCCUUCUGAAUAGUCCAAUGAGUGUGUGGGUUGACUAACUGCAGCCCAGGUAUAAAGUUGAUCUUGCUAUAUUUAAAAAUAAAAAAUGUUGAAAUGCUAUUAAUUCAGUUACAAAAAAAUAAGCCAUGACUAAUACAUUGCAAAAUCA
ensembl:lncRNA novel transcript